rnacentral:lncRNA from 1 species
ACUGGAUGCAGAAAGACAAGCCCGCUAAGGAUGUUGAUGAAGGCCCACAAGGGGGUACUAGUGGAGCAGGAGAAGGUACCAAGGAGACUCGCAGGGGGCUGCCUCAGCCUCACCCCACAGGGGAGCUCCACUGGGUAAGUCACACUCCCGAGCUGUCCCUCCUGGAGGAAAGGAAGCUGGGCUUUCAGACUCUUGCACCAAGGUAGGCAUGGCUAUAGGAUUUGGGAUGCAUCGUGGGGUUGGGACGCAAAACAUUAACACCCAUGUAAUUCCAGCUCUCAAAACCUGUGGGAAAAGAAGCUCCCGGAACUUUAGUCACAAACACAACUUGCAAGGGCUGGUCGUGGGAAACUAACAUACCAAAUAUAGAGUUCAGGGGCAUAAAACACUGGCUAAGCAGGGUCUGAAAGGAUCUAGCAGAGCCUCAACACGUCCCACCUCAAACGCAGCAUCGUAGCAUCUAGAACAGGGUCUGGCCCCUGGUAGGUGCCCAGUAAAUACUUGCUGAAAUCACUGAAUGAAUGAAGCACUGAAGGCAUGGCAGAUGCCAGGGAGAUGGGACACUCAGGAAGGAGGGCUGGUUCUGAGGAAAGGUAGAGUUUGAAUCUUUGAAUCUUUGCCGAAAAAGCACCUCUUAAUUUUAGCAAAGAGGCUAAGACUUUUCAAAACCAUCAAGUUCCGGCUUCUUCAUAUUUUUAACAGUUAUUCACUUAGUUCACCUAUUUCAUCUUGCAUUUACCAUAAACAUCAAAAAUAGAGUUUGGUUUGGGGCCUGAUGACUUUGAGGUGGUGACAUGUCAUCAGCAGUGUCAGCCAAGGAUCCAGCACGAGGGAGAGUGUAAGGAGGCCAGAACGGCAGUCAGAGAGAUGAUGGCCCCAGGAGAGGGUGUCGAGAGAGGAGAGAAGAGGAGGAAGGAGGCGGGUAGUGGCUCACACCUGUAAUCCCAGCACUCUGAGGGGGUGAGGCUGGAGGGUUGCUUGAGCCCAGGAGUUUAAGGCUGUAGUGAGCCAUGAUCGUGCCACUGCACUCCAGCCUGAGUGACAGACAAGACCCUGUCUCUCCAAAAGGAAAAAAGAAAAAGAAGAGGAGAGAAAAGGAAGUCUUAGAGGCUUAGCGAGCCAGGGAAGAGGAGCUACAAAGGGUGAGGAGGGCACAAAGUGGCCAGAGAGUGGGCAAGAAAGCCAGGAAAGAAGUGGAUGCUGGGGAAACCCUCACAC